rnacentral:rRNA from 1 species
GACGAACGCUGGCGGCGUGCUUAACACAUGCAAGUCGAACGGAAAGGCCCUGCUUUUGUGGGGUGCUCGAGUGGCGAACGGGUGAGUAACACGUGAGUAACCUGCCCUUGACUUUGGGAUAACUUCAGGACACUGGGGCUAAUACCGGAUAGGAGCUCCUGCUGCUUGGUGGGGGUUGGAAAGUUUCGGCGGUUGGGGAUGGACUCGCGGCUUAUCAGCUUGUUGGUGGGGUAGUGGCUUACCAAGGCUUUGACGGGUAGCCGGCCUGAGAGGGUGACCGGCCACAUUGGGACUGAGAUACGGCCCAGACUCCUACGGGAGGCAGCAGUGGGGAAUAUUGCACAAUGGGCGGAAGCCUGAUGCAGCAACGCCGCGUGCGGGAUGACGGCCUUCGGGUUGUAAACCGCUUUCGCCUGUGACGAAGCGUGAGUGACGGUAAUGGGUAAAGAAGCACCGGCUAACUACGUG